rnacentral:rRNA from 1 species
AUGCUACUGCUGGUCGACUCGAGAAGCUCUCACAGUUUCAUCAGUGAGUCCUUUGCCUCCCGGCUUUCUGCACAAACUAACAAACUAUCCCCGGUUUCAGUUCACAUGGCCAAUGGACAACGACUCCUCUGCAACAAGAUUGUGCACCAAUUGACAUGGCAAGUGCCCGGCCACACCUUCCACACCGAUCUUCGCGUGCUGCCACCGAGUGCGUACGAUGGUGUUCUAGGCAUCGACUGGCUUUCAGCUCAGAGCCCAAUGUUGUGUCACUGUCAGUUCGACACCGCGGGCAAAUCAAUUCUGUUGCAAGGAGUCAAAACAACAGACAUGCCUCUCAUCCCCGAAGUGGAUGCAUACGAGUUACAUCGCAUGGAGGUAGCAAAUGAUAUUUGGACUUUAGCUUUGGUUACCAUUGAGAAGACUGAUGAAACACAAGCUGCAACCGUCCCACCAAAUAUUUAG